GAUGAACGCUGGCGGCGUGCCUAAUACAUGCAAGUCGAGCGGUAAGGUUCUCACUCUGUAUUUAACGAGUUUGAAUAUAGUGUGAGAAUACACGAGCGGCGGACGGCUGAGUAACACGUAGGAACGUACCCCAAAGUGAGGCAUAAGCAUCAGAAAUGAUGUCUAAUACCGCAUGUGAUCUUCGGAUUAAAGCUUCGGCGCUUUGGGAACGGCCUGCGCAUGAUUAGCUUGUUGGUGAGGUAAUAGCUCACCAAGGCGACGAUCAUUAGCUGGUCUGAGAGGAUGAUCAGCCAGAC
rnacentral:rRNA from 1 species